rnacentral:rRNA from 1 species
AGGAUAAACGCUGGCGGCAGGCCUAACACAUGCAAGUCGAGCGCCCGUAGCAAUACGGGAGCGGCAGACGGGAUAGUAACACGUGGGAACGCGCCCUUCGGUUCGGAAUAACUCAGGGAAACUUGAGCUAAUACCGGAUACGCCCUUACGGGGAAAGAUUUAUUGCCGAAGGAACGGCCCGCGUCCGAUUAGCUAGUUGGUGAGGUAAUGGCUCACCAAGGCGACGAUCGGUAGCUGGUCUGAGAGGAUGACCAGCAUCACUGGGACUGAGACACGGCCCAGACUCCUACGGGAGGCAGCAGUGGGGAAUAUUGGACAAUGGGCGCAAGCCUGAUCCAGCCAUGCCGCGUGGAUGAUGAAGGCCUUAGGGUUGUAAAGUCCUUUUAACGGGGAAGAUAAUGACGGUACCCGUAGAAUAAGCCCCGGCUAACUUCGUGCCAGCAGCCGC